rnacentral:misc_RNA from 1 species
GAAAUGCGAUAAGUAGUGUGAAUUGCAGAAUUCAGUGAAUCAUCGAAUCUUUGAACGCACAUUGCACCCUUUGGUAUUCCUUAGGGCAUGCCUGUUCGAGCGUCAUUUAAACCUUCAAGCUCAGCUUGGUGAUGGGUGACUGUCCCCUCCUCGCGGGGGGACUCGCCUCAAAAACAUUGGCGGCCGGUACAUUGGCUUCGAGCGCAGCAGAAACGCGGUCUCGAGCCCGGUGGAUCGGCUCCCACAAGCCUAUUCUUUUAUUUUGACCUCGGAUCAGGUAGGGAUACCCGCUGAACUUAAGC